UUGAUGAGAAGAAGCCGAAAACAUGCAGGAGCGAUAGAAGGAAAAAACGAAAGAAAGGAGGAGGAUGGACUUGAAAUGAAUGAGAUCAACAGAUGGUACUUGAAUGUUAGGGCAGAUGCAUGCAUUCAUUCAUCCAUGUUUCUGACUGCUCCUUCCGAUUCUUUCCCCCGUCUCUCCCUUUCUCUAUUGACCGAAU
rnacentral:ribozyme from 11 species